rnacentral:rRNA from 1 species
UACGAAGGGGGCUAGCGUUGCUCGGAAUCACUGGGCGUAAAGGGUGCGUAGGCGGGCCUUUAAGUCAGGGGUGAAAUCCUGGAGCUCAACUCCAGAACUGCCUUUGAUACUGAAGAUCUUGAGUGCGGGAGAGGUGAGUGGAACUGCGAGUGUAGAGGUGAAAUUCGUAGAUAUUCGCAAGAACACCAGUGGCGAAGGCGGCUCACUGGCCCGAUACUGACGCUGAGGCACGAAAGCGUGGGGAGCAAACAGG